GACCACGAAGAGUCCUGGCCCCCAGAACCGUGAACGUGGCGUGCAGAGCUCAACCUUCACUUCUUCCCACCCAUUGCUCCCAGCCUCGGAGCAGGCCAGGACCACUGACAGGAAGCAGAAUCAGGGCUGUCCACCCUGCCUACAAAGGCCUAGCCCGGCCCAUUCUGCUCAUCCUCUAUAGGGUCUCCCACCCUGAAGGCAGCCCACCAGCUACUCACCAGCUUCCCCACAGAGAAAGAGCAGGAGGUUCCAGGGAAGGAAAGGGGUUGCCAGGGGACAGGAGUCCUUACCUACUCCUUUUAGCCCAUUGGGGUCUUCACCUGGGGACAGCUUGAGCAGCUUCUCCCAAGUCUACUCUCUGGCCCCAUGGUGCCCCAACCCAGUCAGUCAGGAAGGAAAAACAUGGAGACGAGGUGCACUGUCUGAUUCUGGGAACUGUUUGUCUCCCCUGUGAGCAAGUAAGACAUUAGACCCUGGAUAGAGAAGGGAGUCUCAGCAUGUAAACUCUGAACCAAGGGCAGGACCCUGGAGCUGCAAGAACAAAAGGCGAAUGCAAAGGCAGAGAGACCUAGGGCCCUGAAACACUGCUGGACCUCACGGGCCUCCCCCUGUGCCCCAGAUCCCCACUCCUACCAUCCUUUCUAGGCUUUGCCUGGGGGGUCCGAAGCUGCUGUCCUCCCAGGGAGACUGAGAGAACAUGCCCUCAGCCCAGCCACAGGGCACAGAGCCCUAGGUCCAGCCUGCAGGAAAGAUGGCGAGGAAAGGGGGGAUGAG
rnacentral:lncRNA from 1 species